rnacentral:antisense_RNA from 1 species
CGGACCGUGUACUCCCAGAUGGUCUCCGGGUCGAUGAGGGCCUGCUCGCCGAAGUACGCGCCGUCGGCGAGCGUGCCGAGCACCGUGUCGUCUCCGUAGGGGCCCGUGCCGACCUUCUCGACGCGGCCGUGGGCGAGCAGGAACACCUCGUCCGCCUGGUUGCCGAACGACGUGAGCACCCCGCCGGCCUCGAACUCGCGCUGCUGGCAGCGGCGCGCCAGCUCGCCGAGCACCUCCUGGUCCUCGAAGUCCCGAAGGACCGGCAGUUCGCCGAGCUCGGCGGGGAUCACCUCGACGCGGUCUCCCGUCUUGACGAACGUGACCCGGCCGUCCCCGACCGAGUAGCUCGUCCUGCGGUUGACUCGGUACGUACCGCCUUGCACCUGUACCCAGGGCAGCAUCCGCAGCAGCCAGCGGGAGCUGAUCUCCUGCAUCUGCGGCGCGGACUUGGUGGUGGUGGCCAGAUUCCGCGCGGCGGAUGUGCCGAGACUCUGCUGCGGCUGGUCCU